rnacentral:rRNA from 1 species
AUGAGCAGCAUGGGGAAGCAACUAGUGAGCAGCACCAGCAAGGGCAUGGCAAACAGGGGGAAGCAAGCAGCAACAACUCAACAAAAAAUCGAUUCAAAUAGAAGAGAGAGGUUGAGGUUACCUGCUCCAGCAUGGUUGCCGCUGGGAGGAGAGGCUCCUGCACUUGGGGGAUGGCUGCGGUCGAGUCCAGGCGGCGGUGGCGGCGGCGGUGAGUCCAGGAGGUUUCCCAGCUCUCCCUUUUGUGGCGCCCGUGAAUGCGACCUGCAAAAAAAAAGGUUUCCUAUCGGGUCGAAGCGUAGUUGGGCCUCCCGAGUCCCUCACGUGUCCCAUACGUGA